UCGAGAAUCUUCGGCAAUGGGCGCAAGCCUGACCGAGCGAUGCCGCGUGCGGGAUGAAGGCUUUCGGGUUGUAAACCGCUGUCGUAGGGGAGCAAGGCGUAAGCUUGAGCGAUCCUAGGAGGAAGGACCGGCUAAGUCUGUGCCAGCAGCCGCGGUAAUACAGACGGUCCAAACGUUAUUCGGAAUCACUGGGCUUAAAGAGUUCGUAGGCGGUCAGGAAAGUGGGGUGUGAAAGCCCUCGGCUCAACCGAGGAACUGCGCUCCAAACUCCCUGACUUGAGGAGGCUAGAGGUAAGCGGAACUGAUGGUGGAGCGGUGAAAUGCGUUGAUAUCAUCAGGAACACCGGAGGCGAAGGCGGCUUACUGGGGCCUUUCUGACGCUGAGGAACGAAAGCUAGGGGAGCGAACG
rnacentral:rRNA from 1 species